rnacentral:rRNA from 1 species
UACGUAGGUGGCAAGCGUUGUCCGGAAUUAUUGGGCGUAAAGCGCGCGCAGGCGGUCCUUUAAGUCUGAUGUGAAAGCCCACGGCUCAACCGUGGAGGGUCAUUGGAAACUGGGGGACUUGAGUGCAGGAGAGAAGAGUGGAAUUCCACGUGUAGCGGUGAAAUGCGUAGAGAUGUGGAGGAACACCAGUGGCGAAGGCGACUCUUUGGCCUGUAACUGACGCUGAGGUGCGAAAGCGUGGGGAGCAAACAGG